GACGAACGCUGGCGGCGUGCUUAACACAUGCAAGUCGAACGGAAAGGCCCUGCUUUUGUGGGGUGCUCGAGUGGCGAACGGGUGUGUAACACGUGAGUAACCUGCCCUUGACUUUGUGAUAACUUCAGGAAACUGGGGCUAAUACAGGAUAGGAGCUCCUGCUGCAUGGUGGUGGUUGGAAAGUUUGGGCGGUUGGGGAUGGACGCGCGGCUUAUCAGCUUGUUGGGGGGGUAGUGGCUUACCAAGGCUUCGACGGGUAGCCGGCCUGAGAGGGUGACCGGCGACCUUGGGCCUACGAUACGGCCCAGUGUCGUACGGGAGGCAGUAGGGGGGAGUAUGGCACAGUGGGGGGGCGCCUGAGGCAGCAGCGCUGCGUUCGGGAUGACGGCCUUCGGGGUGUAAACCGCUUUAGGCUGAGACGAAGCUGUUGUGACGGUAAUGGGUGAAGAAGCACCGGCUAACUACGUG
rnacentral:rRNA from 1 species